GAUGAAGAACGUAGCGAAAUGCGAUAAGUAAUGUGAAUUGCAGAAUUCAGUGAAUCAUCGAAUCUUUGAACGCACAUUGCGCCCGUCAGUAUUCUGGCGGACAUGCCUGUUCGAGCGUCAUUACGCCCCUCAAGUCCCCUGUGGACUUGGUGUUGGGGAUCGGCGAGGCUGGUUUUCCAGCACAGCCGUCCCUUAAAUUAAUUGGCGGUCUCGCCGUGGCCCUCCUCUGCGCAGUAGUAAAACACUCGCAACAGGAGCCCGGCGCGGUCCACUGCCGUAAAACCCCCCAACUUUUUAUAGUUGACCUCGAAUCAGGUAGGACUACCCGCUGAACUUAAGCAUAUCAAUAAGCGGAGGA
rnacentral:misc_RNA from 1 species